rnacentral:rRNA from 1 species
UGAUAAAAAGCCCUGGCGAAAAAAAUCCCAAAUCAGUACCCACCCGAGUCAUCUUCCCAGUCCCAGCUGCGCCCCAGAUCCCUCGCCGCCGCCGCCGCCCAGCUGCGCCCCAAAUCCCUCGCCGCCGCCCGGCUGCACGCUGAAUCCCUCGUCGGCGGCUCUACCUCCUCCACUCUCUCGCCUGCCCCCUCCGCCAUAUUUGUUGGGUCGUCGACCACGGAACGACCGCCUCCGGAAUGUCGCUGUCAACCUCCUGUUGCCUCCGCGGGAGGGUCUCCUUCAACGUCACCGCCACUGCCGUCACUCGACCGCCGUAGCAUCCUUCUUUGAGUACCACCCCGUUCCAUCCAGGGAACUCUUUCUUAACCGGAUUGCUUUGGUUUGCUCUGUCUGGAAUAAUGCACUGAAAAUGAAAACAUUGCAGGGAACACGUCAUGAAAGUAAUGUUUGUUCAGUCCAAAUGUUACUUGCCAUUCUAUUUCCUUAUGAUUUUAUUCUCUUACAGUUUGCUCUCUAUCCAGUAGCAGUUGCGUUGCAAGUACAAUGAACAUCAUCAAUGCAACAGAGAGGUUAAAGAUGAGGUUGAGGUUAUCACUUGGCGUCAAGAAAUUGUAUAAUAUUCUUCCAAAUGAAGUGGGGCAAAAAUCAAGAUCCGUGAUCCACGUGAGAUGCAAGAGCCUUUGCUCUAAUCAAGGAUUUAGGAAGCAUUGACCAGCUGCAUGGCAAGUACAAGGAGCAUUAUCAGUACAACAAGGAGGUUCAAUCAAGAAGUUGAGGUCAUCAAUCAAGGCAAGAAAUUCUACCAUAUUGUUCUGAAUGAAGAGGUACCUUUUCCUGCUAUUACAUUAUCAAAUAUUUGCAUAAUGCUUUGGUUUCUACUAUUAUGGAGAUGAUCAAGGAUCUGUCGAGCAUUCUUGCAAAUCUGAAAUGGAUAGACUUAACUCCCUACUAUUUUCUUAUUAUGUAGCUUUGUGGUUAUGCAUCCUUGAGGAGUUGCACUUAAUUCUAUUAACAUUGGUAUUGUGUUUUGAAGUGACUUGCAAGAAGUCUCUAAUAAAUUAUCUACUCCGACUGUUAGCUGAUAGUUCUGUCAAACUGACCCAGAAGCUUGUGCUCAGGUUGUCAUUUGAAUGGAUUUAGUCAGCUGUAUGGUUUGCAUCAAAUCUGAGACAUGAUGCUAGAACAAAUCACUCCAUUAUUUGGCUAUAUAGCUGUUAAAUUUGGUAACCCUGCUGUGACAAAAACAAGUUUGGUAUAUAUGCCAAUGUUAAUGUGAGAAGCUGAGAUACCAAAUAGAUUAUGUUGAUCAUAUCUUAUAUAUGUUUUCCUGUUUCUUGUUACCUUUUUAACACUUGCUCAUUUUCACAAGUUCAAUUAUGCCACUGCAAGGUAACCUUGAAUAGCAGCUUGCAACUUAAGCUGCAGCAAGGCAUUAUAGAAAAUGAGGUCUCAUGUUGGACCUCUGUUUUUGUUAGCCUUUGAUUCAUGUAAAUUCUAUGGAACUGUACCAGGAGAUAUGUGAAUUGUAGAUAUAUGGUUGACGUAAACUAUUGAAAUUGAUGUUUCUGUGUUCUGAG